rnacentral:rRNA from 1 species
UACGUAGGCAGCGAGCGUUGUUCGGAGUUACUGGGCGUAAAGAGUGCGUAGGCGGUUUUCUAAGUUUGGUGUGAAAUCUCCCGGCUUAACUGGGAGGGUGCGCCGAAGACUGGAAGGCUAGAGUAUGGGAGAGGUAAGCGGAAUUCCUGGUGUAGCGGUGAAGUGCGUAGAUAUCAGGAGGAACACCUGCGGUGUAGACGGCUUACUGGACCAUAACUGACGCUGAGGCACGAAAGCGUGGGUAGCAAACAGG